UACGGAGGGUGCAAGCGUUAUCCGGAUUCACUGGGUUUAAAGGGUGCGUAGGCGGGCAGGUAAGUCCGUGGUGAAAUCUCUGAGCUUAACUCAGAAACUGCCAUGGAUACUAUUUGUCUUGAAUAUUGUGGAGGUAAGCGGAAUAUGUCAUGUAGCGGUGAAAUGCUUAGAUAUGACAUAGAACGCCAAUUGCGAAGGCAGCUGGCUACACAAAUAUUGACACUGAGGCACGAAAGCGUGGGGAUCAAACAGG
rnacentral:rRNA from 1 species